GUGUUUCUGUUGACACCAGUAGGAUGUGGAUUUUCUGUUGCUGAACAGAAGCCCUCUGCUAAAAUCGCCUUUGGAAACCUUUGCUGUUCGUAGGCAUCUGUGAUCGCAAAGAAGUAAAACCAGUAUGCCUGCUACAGAAGUGGCCUCCGAGGGGCGGCGUGGGAUUUCCAGUGGGCACGCGGGAGAGUCGCGGGCCUGAGAGCGUGAGAAAUCACGAUUCUGCUGAAAGCAGCAAAGGCAGAGAUGGAGACACCGUUCCUCCUCUUUCACGGCAAACACCCCGCGGGGUCACGGGGCAAAUAUCACCGGUGCUGACACGUGGCCACAGGGCUUGGCGCCUUACGAGGCAAGCUCAGCUACAAGGCCCUCCCUUCCAGGAGGUGUUCUGGAACACGUGGGGCAGGUCGCCCCUCCGCAGAAACGAGCCGGACUACUGCCAUUCGGGAGCUAGAGGCCAAAGCAGAGUCCGGUAGAAUCACACCGUCCAACAGCCGGGGAAGCCGUGGAGGAAGCCAAGACGGCCCGUGGCCUCGUGGCCUGGCGUGCAGACCUCCUGUGGGCACCCGCCUGGGGCCCCUCCACGUCCGGCGUCACCACUGCGUACCCCUUUCACUCUGAAAAGGGCCAGAUGUGGGCCGCCAAUGAUCCGGACCACCACCUCCAGGACUGACACGUCUGGGAACGUAGCAACACCAAGUCCUUUUCUUCGUUGACCGGGACAGCCCGGAGGAGAGAUUGGGGUCCAGUGGAAAGCGACCCCGAGCCUUCCAGCACAGCGUCUCGUGCCUUCGGGGCACACUGCGGGGCUGGGAGGGGGGCCCUCUCUCCCAGGGGUGCGUGCUGCGGGCCCUCCCCCCUUCUCUUCUGUGAUGGGGGGGUGAGGACAGCGCCUGCACACGCGGGGGGGUGUGCUGGUUGCCUUCCCCCAGGCACACACCAUCCACACACCGUGCACGCGGGCUGAGCACUCGAAACACAAGCUCGACUGCAGUCCUGGUCUCCCGGGGCCCUCAGAGGUGUGGGGGGCUAGCCUGGGCCAGUGCCGGGCACGGGGUCAGCAACCGUGAGGCAAGGGCAAGGACUCGGGGGUUCACGGCUGAGGAAGGCAGGAGAGGGGCUGGAAGGUUCUCACGUGGUUGACAGUCCGUAUGGAUUCCGCCAGCGGAUGGGGAUACUGAGUCACGCCAGGGCCUCCUUGUUCCUCCAGGCAGCUGUGCACGGCUCGACUUCGGGAUUUCCCUGUGCAUGGGUUACGGAGCAAGGCGGGCACGACCUGUCCAAAGAGGAGAAGGUCAAGGCCCAGGAGAAGAGACCCAGGGCAACUGUCCUGCACCCCGAUCUCCCCCACUGCUGUCCUAGGAGGCAGGAGGGCCCUGCUGGAACCCAUCCCUCUGGUUACUGUCCCAUCAACAGCGAAUCUUGGCAUCCGCACUGCUCGCUGAUCCGGACAGCCUCCAGACAGCAGGAUGUACCCUCGCUUUGCAUUUAGAGCCUGAGCUCCGUCUCUCCUAGUCUCUCCGCACAGACCGCCGUGCCUGAGACCCCAGCCAGGGCAGAGUGAGGGGUCUGACCCCAAAGGCGCAGUCAGACUCUCCCAGGCUCUGGCGGACCAGCGGGGACGAGCACGUCUGGUGGUAUCCACUCUCUUGUCGGUGUGCCCCGUCUGUGCGUGUGCGUGUGCAAUGCCAUAGUGGACGAGGAUCAGGUUGGGGAUCUGAGGGGAGGCUCACUGCGGCCCACCGCCCUCAGCGGUCUGUUUGGCUCUUGGCCACUGAGAGGAGAGAACUACGGUCUCUGGGUAACUCCCUCUCUCUUUGGCCUUGUAAGGAAAUAUCUAGGGAAGACAGCAGAAGGUGUGUCGGUGAGAUUUGCAGGUGGCAUCAGAAGGUAUGAGAGAAAAGUGGGUUCUUCCCCUGCCCCUCCCUCCCCAUCCACCUGGCCCCACCCCCGGCAGGUAACUUCUCUUUUUUUUUUGUUUUAAAUAUUUAUUUAUUAUUGAGAGACCGAGAGACACAGAGCGCGGGCAGAGGAGGGGCGUAGAGAGGGGGAGACACAGAAUCCGAAGCAAGCUCCAGGCCCUGAGCCCGAUGCGGGGCUCGAACUCACAAACCGCAAGACCGUGACCUGAGCCGAAGUCGGGCGCUUAACCGACUGAGCCACCCAGGCACCCCAGGCCUGGCAGUUUUGUCUGCUUCUCAUUGAAGUCUGCAAGCCAAGCCAUGUCACGGGGUGACACUGACAAUCAGGAAGCAGACAGAAGACCUGCGUUCACAAGCCCCUUGAAUCUGGUGGCUUCUCCGUUAGUCAAGACUGAAUUUCCCGAAGCAGACAAGGUCUGGGCAUUUGGAAGGGCUUUUGUUUGCUUGUGUGUUGUGUUUUGUUUUGUUUGAUGGGAGGGGGAUGUGGGGCAGCUUGGAAGUGACAGAGGGUGACCGUUGACCUUUUACCCAGUUAAGGUCCUAAGGGCCCAGAGCCCAAGCGUGUGAACAGGUGGUUAAGGGACCUGGGAAGCCAAGCCACAGGCUCCCCCUUAGCCCUGCUGAAGCCAUAAUGCAGAUAAUAGUCAAUCCAUGGAAUCCUUGGACAGCCAUGUGGGGGGUUACCUCUCCCGUUCCAGCAGAAUUAUGGUGGCCAACUGAGAGACGACUGCCGGGAAGACAGGACUUGAUGGUGCACAGUCCCUCCCGCCUGGAAGCAUGCUUCUUCAGGACUGGGCCCCGCCAGAGACUCAGCCUCACAUCCGCAGCUCUCUGUCCCACCUCCGUCACCUCCCUGCAGGCUCCGGGAGGCUUGGUAGCUAGAGGUGAUAGACUCUGGAAAUCGAUGUCUGCCAGGAACUCGGAAUCUGGGUGUGCUCAGCUCUGCCCACUACCCCUGACGGUCAUGGGAUCCCCUGAAACCCACCCCGCCCGACCCACCCUAAACUCAGCGUUUUGGUCAGAUUUGUUUUGCGCUGUCUCAUCACAAACCCUGUGGUUUUCAAAUGCCUCCUCCCUGCCCUGGCCCACGAGGUUCCUCUAUCCCCAGGAGGGUCUGGUGCCCAGAGCCAAAAUAAACCCCGGGCAUUGGAAAAGAGGGCUGAGAACCGCAGGUCCUUCUCUCUGUAGGGUACACUCACGUCCGCUGUGUUUUAGCUGUGCACCACGGCCGGCUAAAGGCAUCUCCGUGGCCCUGGCUGCUAUCGAUCCGUGAGUUUCUUUAGGUCAGCAGCUGCAGUGGAAAAGACCCCUUUCCUCCAAUGGUCACGAACGUGGGUGUCCCUGCCCUACCGCUGCUGGGAAGCAAGGACAAACCAUUAACAGACGCUCGAAGUGGGGCGCAGUCCACGAAGUGGGGCUCAAGGACAGUCUUGGCUGGCUUGGCCCUCUGAAGUAGAUCUUCUUACCUCAAUCCUACAAUCAACAGCUGCGGAAUCCAUGACUGUGCCAAGGACACACGGCCACUCAGAGGCACAACCGGGUCCAGGCUGGGCCAUCUGCCUGGGCUCCUGGUCCCUGGGGUCCUGGGGUCCGUCUGGAUCUGGUUCCCUUGGUCAUAUACUCAGCACCUGACAAUAAAUUACUUUUCUUCCAUG